rnacentral:misc_RNA from 2 species
AACGCACCUUGCGCCUCUUGGUAUUCCGAGAGGCAUGCCUGUUUGAGUGUCAUGAAACAUCAAUCCCCAUGGGUUUUUUUGACCCGUGGUCGGACUUGGAAUUGGGUGUCUGCCUCCCCAGGCUCGCCUCAAAAGACUCAGUGGGACUCUGUGACCUAUGCCUGACGUAAUAAGUUUCGUUUCGGCCGGUCGCUUGGGCCUGCUCACAACACACCAUACUUUUGACAUUGACCUCAAAUCAGGUAGGGCUACCCGCUGAACUUAA